UCAUAGGAAGAUAAUGAAGCAUGGUUGAUCGAGUUUUUACUCAAAAGUUUCAAACAACAUAUAAGCUUCAUCCUCACUCUUACUCAUGAAUGCACCUCCACAAGAUGUAUUAACCAUCUGUUUAUACUGAUCACCUAAACCCUCACAAAAGGCUUGAAUACUUUGUUAGUUGAUAGACCAUGGUGUGGAUAUUUUCUAAGAAGUUUCUUAAGUCUUUCCCAU
rnacentral:lncRNA from 1 species